AUUGGCUGAAGCAUCAUUAUUUGGUGCAUGACUGUAGAACUUUAAGCAAUGAUGAAAAUGCUCUAUAUCCACACUAUCCAAUAUGGUUCUGCUUGAAUUCUUGCCCUGGCUCUUGGUGAAGGAUCGGCCUGCUGGAUCUGAGUCAUCCACCUAUAAGAGGGACAACACCACACAUUGGUCGCUGCUCUCAAGCCCCUGGAAUACCACCCCACUUGGCUUCUCCUGGUAACAGUGGCUGCCUUUGCUUGCCUGUCUCCAACUCCUCCCAAGAGCAUUGCUGACUAUACCACCCACAUAAACAAAAACUUUUUGGGAGUCCUCCAGAAUUUUUAAGAGUUAUCUAAACUAUUGCCUUUAAUGACCAGGAACUCCAAUUUGAGAAGUUACCCUACGUUAAGCCAACAGCAGCCUGGCUCCUUCAUCCUGUGCAGUAUGGGACAGAGCUGGGUCCUUGUUGUCAUCAGCCAGACAAGCACACAUUAAAGCCCACCUUAGCCAUUGGCAUUACAGCUUUAAAAGCAGCUCCAUCCUACCAUGCUGUCACUCUACUCAAUCACGUGAUCUUAACGACCAGCUCUACAUAUCCUCUCUCCAUGCCCCCACCACCAUCCCCCACCAACAAAUCCGGUAAUCUAUCUCUGUCAAUAGUCCUGCAGUGAAUUCCGAAUAAGUUUUUCUCUUCCCUGGCCUGCCGUUUACGUAGUACCCUGGAUGAAUCUAUACUUACUCCAUAGUAAGUAGUACCUUGGAUGAAUCUAUACUUGCAUCCAAUGGAAAUGAGAGUGAUGGUGCAGAGUUAUCCGAAGUAACUCCAGCUAUGUUGUGGAUCUUCUAAUCAUGGGCUCAUCUAAGCCUUCCCAGAUAUCACUCUAGUUUUUACAAUCUUUGUUUAUGACAAUUAGGGCUGUAACAUUGGCUGUAGACAUUUGUUGCAUCAAGGAACUCAGCUUCCACUGAAGUUCUGAAGUUAAUCAGUUUCUGAUCUUGUUCUGCAACUCUCUGCAAGAAGAAAAAUCACCAGGAAAUAGUGCAUCCUGAAAGGAGUCAAAGUUUCCUUAUCCAGCUGGAGCAGUGUGAUCUCGGACCAGAGUCAAUUCCUUGCCCAACAGACUUCACAUUGAGCCAUGAGAAGCAGCCUACUUACCCUUACCUGGACACUUCUCCAAAACCUGUGAAAUGGCCUCUGUCACUGCCUCAAAGCCUCAUCCUUGGUGGGCAACUCACCUGGAUCCUGAGACCAAAAUAUAGAGCUUAAUGAACUGCUCCUCUGCUGUAAACCUACUAUCUUUUCACACUAAGAUGUAGAUAUUCUCGCCUUGCUCUACCCAGUGAUUCUGCUAUCAGCUACAGGUCUGGGUUUGUGUCUCCGACAAAGAACCACCUCAAAGCCCCACAGAAAAGGACUGUACCGUAUACUUCAAACUAUUGACACCUCAAAGAACAGAGCUUGGGUUCAGGCUUCUGAUGCAUUCUGAGACACUCUCAGACCAUACCAGUGGGCUGGGUCAGGAUUUACAGAACUAUUUUCAUUUCAAGAGCAUACGGGCUCAUGAGAUUGCUAACUCAAGAUCCGGUGGAACAGAAAUACUUAUAUCGGACUGAAUAAACUGAUGAGGAAAA
ensembl:lncRNA LINC02020 long intergenic non-protein coding RNA 2020